CUGCGUUGAAGUUUAAUGGAGCCUUGAGCAUGGCAGUUGGAACAUCCACAGGGCAGGAUCUUGACAUACAACCAUAGCUGGCCUGAAACUUUGGGUAGAAGCAGCUGGCCUUGAACUCACAGAGAUCUGCCUGUCCCCGCCUCCCAAAGGUAUUGUUAUAUGAUCUUCGCUCAGAUAAGCCAUUGCUAGUUAAGGAUCACCAGUAUGGACUGCCCAUUAAGUCAGUUCAUUUCCAGGACUCACUAGAUUUGGUUUUGUCUGCAGACUCCAGAAUUGUCAAAAUGUGGAACAAGGACUCCGGGAAGAUAUUUACUUCGUUGGAGCCGGAACAUGACCUUAAUGAUGUUUGCCUCUAUCCCAGCUCAG
rnacentral:lncRNA from 1 species